CUGUAGUACACAGCUUGUUCACCACCUCUACUACAGGCCCAGUCCCAAGUAGAACAGAGCCUUUCUAUCUCCUAUUAAUGUGCCUUCUCCUCUUUCAGCUAAUAGCAUCAACACAUAAAAAAAAAAUCUGUGGAAAUAUGCAAGACAGGGCUUAGGAACUUCUGUGUGGCUUUGAUUCAGAUUUCUUAUGCACGAUCAGAAGGGUUGAGAACAGAUUUUUCUAUGUUUCUACCUCAUGGUGUCUUUUAUAGAUCUCCACCCUGUCUUGUGGCAUUUAUGAACCUGAAAGUGGUUCUUCAGAUCAUGGGCCAAGACAGCAACUCUUCCCUUUUUCUCUUUCCUUUCUUUCAGGAACUCAAGAAAGACCCAGAGGGGUUAAAUUGUCCUACCAAAAUCCCUAUGCAGGCAUCUGUCCCUGAUGGCUCAUUCAGCAUCCUCAAGUCUUCAGCAAAAAAUCCCCUGGAAGACCCUGCCCUGCAGCCCCUGGUAAGAAGGAUGUCCUCUGGGAAGGUCCAUGAACAGGAUCCUUGGAUGGGCAUGUUGUCUGUGACUCAGGAAUCUAAGAAACUCAGUGCCUGGAAAAGUCCACAUCUCUGUGCUAUAGAACAGAAAAAAGAGUGAGAGUGUGGCUCACACCGUCUUGAGGGGACAAAUGAGCUUAGACAACUCGGCAGCCAACGAGCAGGAGAUGGGGAGCUACCGAGCAGGACAGCUCGAUGCCAAGAGCAAGCAGGGAGCUGAUGUGCCACCAGCUUCAUCUGAAUAUUCAGGAAAGUAAGUUAAAUGGUGACACCUUGUCCUGGCACAUAUCCUAU
rnacentral:lncRNA from 1 species